rnacentral:tRNA from 2 species
GCACGGGUGGUGGAAUGGCAGACACGCUAUCUUGAGGGGGUAGUGGACGUACGUCCGUGAGGGUUCAAGUCCCUUUCCGUGCA